ACUACGGGAGGCAGCAGUGGGGAAUAUUGCACAAUGGGGGAAACCCUGAUGCAGCGACGCCGCGUGAGUGAAGAAGUAUGUCGGGAUGUAAAGCUCGAUCAGCAGGGAAGAAGAAAGACGGUACCUGACGAAGAAGCCCCGGCGAACUACGUGCCAGCAGCCGCGGUAAUACGUAGGGGGCAAGCUUUAUCCGGAUUGACGGGGUGUAAAGGGAGCGGAGAAGGCUGUGCAAGUCUGAAGUGAAAGCCCAGGGCUCAACCCUGGGACUGCUUUGGAAACUGUGGAGCUAGAGUGCUGGAGAGGUCAGUUGAAUUCCUAGUGUAGCGGUGAAAUGCGUAGAUAUUAGGCGGAACACCAGUGGCGACGGCGGCUUACUGGACAGUAACUGACGUUGAGGCUCGAAAGCGUGGGGAGCAAACAGGAUUAGAUACCCGUGUAGUC
rnacentral:rRNA from 1 species